rnacentral:rRNA from 1 species
CCUACGGGAGGCAGCAGUGAGGAAUAUUGGACAAUGGGCGCAAGCCUGAUCCAGCCAUGCCGCGUGCAGGAAGACGGUCCUAUGGAUUGUAAACUGCUUUUGUACAGGAAGAAACACUCCCUCGUGAGGGAGCUUGACGGUACUGUAAGAAUAAGGAUCGGCUAACUCCGUGCCAGCAGCCGCGGUAAUACGGAGGAUCCAAGCGUUAUCCGGAAUCAUUGGGUUUAAAGGGUCCGUAGGCGGUUUAAUAAGUCAGUGGUGAAAUCUGGUCGCUCAACGAUCAAACGGCCAUUGAUACUGUUAGACUUGAAUUAUUAGGAAGUAACUAGAAUAUGUAGUGUAGCGGUGAAAUGCUUAGAUAUUACAUGGAAUACCAAUUGCGAAGGCAGGUUACUACUAAUGGAUUGACGCUGAUGGACGAAAGCGUGGGGAGCGAACAGGAUUAGAUACCCUGGUAGUCCACGCCGUAAACGAUGGAUACUAGCUGUCGUAGNAUACUGAGUGNGUAGACGAAGUAGAGUAAGUAGUACCACCGUCGGGUAAGGUACGUUCGUUCGAGAAGUUAGUUAAACGUACGAAGUUAGAGUUAGUUACGGACGUUGAGACGAGCGACGGACGACGACGAGGGAGGAGGAG